AAUAGCCGUGUUUCGAGUUCCUCCGGAACACCCGGGAUUUUUCGUAUUUAGCCACGCCGGUCACGUGAUAUGAGCAAAAUGUUCCACAGGGGUACUUCCGGUUAAUUUUGUUUACACUGGUAACAAAAUUGUUUUUGACAAAAUAUAGAUUUUGCGGCACAAACUGUCGCAAAUCAGAUAAAGGAUAGCAAGGGAUAUAUAUUUACUUGGGAAGAUGUCAAAGUUUACCUUUUCCCAAACCCGGGAAAAGCGUUCACGCAGAGGAAACGAUGGCGUCAUUUGUGUAGAAAACCACGAGCAGCCGAAAUUGAGUGCGAUUAUUACAUUCCGUGAAAGCUGAACCAACAAAGGAACAUCAUUGUUCUAGCAAGUUUCCUUAUAUUAACUUUUAGGAAAACCAAGAGGUUUGUACUGACUCUUAAAAAUGUAAUAUAGACUGUGCAAAAUCUUGUCAAUCUUAAGAAUAGGUAUACUUGUACCCUCAUCCACAUCUGAGCAGUGUAUGUAUUUUACAACGGUGUUCAUAAAUUGCAAAAUUUUGAAUUAUAUCAAAGAACAUUGAUCUUUUCUCCAACUUUUAAUACCAAUCAAGCACAGGCAAUAUGCAUCGCUUGGGGUACUCUUUAAUAGUAAAUUCGAACACAAGUGAUGCAUAUUGCCUGUGCAAUCAAGGUACUUUGCAUGUACAUGUACAUCAGAUAUGUACAUUUCCACUCAAACCACUUAUAUACAAGAAUGGAACCAGCUGAACAUGAGCCAGGUUAUAUAUUAUGUAUUUGCUCUCCUACCCCUUUGAUUCAGUACUGUGUAAGGAAAUAUACUAUUGAGUAUAUAUAUAUUUUAAAAAGAAUAACAAAGAACAACAAUUUUCAUUCAUAUUUCAUUCAACAUAUAUAUACACAGGUUGAUAACAAUGGCUGAUCUGCAUAUAAUGACUGCUAGUUAUUGGCUGGUAUGCAGUGAAAGGGAGCUAAAAAGGAGUAAAAAGUUCAUAUCAGCCAGGUAGUGUGGCUUAAAUAAACCACUGUUAAGGAAUAUCCAGUAAUGGCAUGACAUCAUGAGAGUUUGGCAUACCGACAUUCAGAUGAUUAAUGAUGAAACUGAAGACCUCAAGUGAAAGGCAUGGAAAAUGAUCCUGUUCCCAUAUACCUGAAAAAGAGGAGGGAUGCCACAAUAUUGAUAAUAGACUUUUGUCAAUUUGAGAAGCAAAGAUGUAAAAAAAAAAAAAAAAAAAUAAUGCUGAAAUUAUAAUUCAUGUAUUUGUUAAAAAUACUGUUCACUGUACAUACAUGUAUAUUUUUUAAAACUUAUUUUUAAAUACAUGAAGUAAUUCAUAUUAAAACUGUGAAUGUA